GAUGAACGCUAGCGGCAGGCCUAAUACAUGCAAGUCGAACGGAUAUAUGUUUUUCGGAAUAUAUAUUAGUGGCGCACGGGUGAGUAACACGUACAUAACUUGCCCUCAAGCGGGGGAUAGCCUUGGGAAACUGAGAGUAAUACCCCAUAGAAUUAUUGGACGGCAUCGUUUGAUAAUUAAAACUACGGUGUUUGGGGAUAGAUGUGCGUCUGAUUAGCUAGUUGGUGAGGUAACUGCUCACCAAGGCGACGAUCAGUAGGGGGCGUGAGAGCGUGGCCCCCCACACGGGUACGUGAGACACGGACCCGACUCCUACGGAGGCAGCAGUAAGGAAUAUUGG
rnacentral:rRNA from 1 species